CCCGAAUUAGCGGCGCUAGUGAUUCCACAUGACACCCAAAUGAAAAUUCAUAAUCAAACCACCAACCUCGGCGCUUAGAUAUAACAGAUAAGCCAAAUUACUGACCGUCCCUAGAGUAAGUGGCAAAGGACUUGAUGGUCGGUAGCCAAGACUCAAGUUCGAAUCCCAAUUUAUUCACAUUUUCAGCUAAAUUUAUUAUUAAAUGAAAUAAACGAAACGGGUAGCGUGCUACCUAUCUCUAAAAAAAAAAAAAACAGAUAAGCAAAAUUCUUUUCAGAAUAAA
rnacentral:lncRNA from 1 species